rnacentral:lncRNA from 1 species
UACCGAUCCAAUUACCCUUUCCAGUUUACCUGUGCAUAGAGUUAUUUAUUUAUAUAUAUAUAUAUAUAUAUAACCAAAAUAAAAUAUAAAAUAAAAAUAGACCAUAUAAAAAUGGCUAUAUCUACCUUGUCAACAAAAAAUCCUAGAAGAAUAAUUCGGAGCUAAAGGUAGACGCACAUAUAUACAUACACACAAAACAGAAGAAUGAAUAUACAUAUAUGUUUACAGAAAUUAUCAAUUUUGCCUAACGAUAGAUCCCUUCAUACACUCAUAUAUUUAGAUCAAGGAAUCGCUACAUUAGGCUGACUGGCCGAAUACCAACCUAAGCAAAUUAUAUACAAGAUAUAACAUAAACGAGAAAGGAAAAACAAAUAGAUCAGGACAAGUAUGAAUCGUCGCCUCUACCUUCGACUUUCUCAGAUUUACUUGUUAUGGGCACAACACCAUGAGGGCAUUAUAUAGACAAAAAGAAGGGGUGGGAACCUUAGGCAUUACAGUUAUGGCGAUGGGCGAAGAUUUUUGUUGGGCCUCAAGUUGGGCUGAGUACAAAUUAUUUGAGACUAGGCAAAAUGUCAUUUCAUCGAGGAGUGUGAAAUGUAAAUAGCGACCAUUCUUUUGCCAAGGAAUCGGAAGAUGGGGCGAUUUUUUUUCAAGAAAUUACCAAUAAAAAAUACAAAUCAUUCCUUUUUUUUUUUUAAUCAAAAUCGAUCAUAACCACUCCCUACAUUUAACGAAAGUGUGCACUAUAAAUAGGAGUUAAUAAAGAGACCCGCGAUUACAUAGAAAGACGACAAGAUCCCAUAUGAAAAAAAAAUGAUUGAUAUCAAGUUUCUACCAAGAUAACUGAAAGUUCCUAAUAACCCUAAAAACGGAUCAGGAGUGGGAAUGGGAGGCCUCAGAGAUCUUGGUGGAUAAAAUUCAUCAAGUGGGAUAUCAAAACCCCAUCAAGAGUAGCAAAUAUCUUUCUUACAUCACAGGCCAUAUACAUAAAAAAAGCCUUUAUUUGUAAAAAUAAUGUUAAAAGGUGGAAAAUAAAAUGGGAAAAAAUUAAGAUAUUAAUGGAUGGAUAAUGGCAAGAGUCAGAAGUAGCUGGUAAGUAAACAUGGAAUAUUCAUUGGGAAUCCGAUUAAUUUUUUUCAUCAUCCCUGCCAUCAUUAUCAUCAUCACAUCAUAAUAUAUAUAACAUUUCUAUGUAAAUUGGACAAUAAAAACAAAAGAAAUUUGUUCCGAUCCAAUUACCCUUUCCAAUUUACUUGCGCGUAGUUAUUUAUAUAUAUAUAUAUAUAACCAAAAUAAAAUAUAAAAUAAAAAUAGACCAUAUAAAAAUGGCUAUAUCUACCUUACCUUGUCACCAAAAAAUCCUAGGAAGAAUAAUUCGGAGCUAAAGGUAGAUGCACAUAAAUACAUACACACAAAACAGAAGAAUGAAUAUACAUAUAUAUGUACAUAAAUUAUCAAUUUUGCCUAACGAUAGAUCCCUUCAUCCAUUCAAACAUUUGGAUCAAGGAAUUGCAAUAUUAGGCUGACUGGCCAAAUACCAACCCAACCAAAUUAUAUACAAGAUAUAACAUAAACGAGAAAAGAAUAACAAAUAGAUCAGAACAAGUAUGAAACGUCGCCUCUGCCUUUGACUUUCUCAGAUUAACUUGUUUUGGGCACGACACCAUGAGGGCAUUACAUAGACAGAAAAAGAGGGGGGUGGGAACCCUAGCCAUUACUGUUAUGACGAUGGGCUAAUAUUUUUGUUGGGCCUCGAGUUGGACCGAGUACAAAUUAUUUGAGACCAGGCAAAAUGUCAUUUCAUUGAGGAGUGUGAAAUGUAAACAGCGACCGUUGUUUUGUUAAGGAAUCGGAGGAUGAUGGGAUGAUUUUUUUCCAGGAAAUUCCCAAUAAAAAAUACAAAUCAUUCCUUUUUUUUAUUUAUCAAAUCGAUCAUAACCGCUCCCUACAUUUAACGAAAGUGUGCACUAUAAAUAGGAGUUAAUAAAGAGACCCACGAUUACAUAGAAAGACAUCACGAUCCCCUAUGGGAAAAAAAAAUUUUGCUAAGACAAAAUUAAAGAUAUCAAGUUUCUACCAAGAUAACUAGAAGUUCCUAAAGACCCUAAAAAAAGGAUCGGGAGUGGGAAUGGGAGGCUUCAGAGAUCUUGGAGGAUAAAAUUCAUCAAGUGGGAUAUGAAAACACCAUCAAGAGUAGCAAAUAUCUUUCUUACAUCACAAGCCAUAUACAUAAAAAACUUAAAAGCCUUUAUUUGUAAAAAUAAUGUUAAAAGGUGGAAAAUAAAAGGGGAAAAAUUAAGAUAUUAAUGGAUGAAUAAUGGCAAGAGUCGGAAGUAGCUGGUAAGUAAGAGUCCUUCUAGACAGACCGGAAAUUUGGACAGGAAAAUGAGACAUUUUCAAAUUUUUUUAUUUUUUUUGAUUGCGACUCCCAAAAAAUGUAUAGUACUUAUUCCAACAAGAUUUAUAUGUCUCCAAAUUACACAUUAAACACUAUAUUUUGUAAAAAUUCCUGUUGGAAUAAAUACUAUACAUUUUUUGAGUCGCAAUCAAAAAUAAAUAAAUAAAAUUGAAAAUGUCCCACAUUCUUGUCCAGAUUUUUGGUCUAUCUAGACGGUAAAAUAUACAUGGAAUAUUCAUUGGGAAUCCGAUUGAUUUUUUUCAUCAUCCCUGCCAUAAUAUCAUCAUCAAAUCAUAAUAUCAUAAUAUAUAUAUAUAUGACAUUUCUAUUUAAAUUGGACAAUAAAAACAAAAAAGAAUUUGUACCGAUCCAAUUAUCCUUUCCAGUUUACCUGUGCAUAGUUAUUUAUUUAUAUAUAUAUAUAUAUAUAUAACCAAAAUAAAAUAUAAAAUAAAAAUAGACCAUAUAAAAAUGGCUAUAUCUACCUUGUCAACAAAAAAUCCUAGAAGAAUAAUUCGGAGCUAAAGGUAGACGCACAUAUAUACAUACACACAAAACAGAAGAAUGAAUAUACAUAUAUGUUUACAGAAAUUAUCAAUUUUGCCUAACGAUAGAUCCCAUCAUACACUAAUAUAUUUAGAUCAAGGAAUCGCUAUAUUAGGCUGACAGGCCGAAUACCAACCUAAGCAAAUUAUAUACAAGAUAUAACAUAAACGAGAAAGGAAAAACAAAUAGAUCAGGACAAGUAUGAAUCGUCGCCUCUACCUUCGACUUUCUCAUAUUUACUUGUUAUGGGCACAACACCAUGAGGGCAUUAUAUAGACAAAAAGAAGGGGUGGGAACCCUAGGCAUUACAGUUAUGGCGAUGGGCGAAGAUUUUUGUUGGGCCUCAAGUUGGGCUGAGUACAAAUUAUUUGAGACUAGGCAAAAUGUCAUUUCAUCGAGUGUGAAAUGUAAAUAGCGACCAUUCUUUUGCCAAGGAAUCGGAAGAUGGGACGAUUUUUUUUCAAGAAAUUCCCAAUAAAAAAUACAAAUCAUUCCUUUUUUUUUUUAUCAAAAUCGAUCAUAACCACUCCCUACAUUUAACGAAAGUGUGCACUAUAAAUAGGAGUUAAUAAAGAGACCCGCGAUUACAUAGAAAUAUGACAAGAUCCCAUAUCAAAAAAAAAUGAUUUGCUAAGCCGUAAAUAAAGAUAUCAAGUUUCUACCAAGAUAACUGAAAGUUCCUAAUAACCCUAAAAACGGAUCAGGAGUGGGAAUGGGAGGCCUCAGAGAUCUUGGUGGAUAAAAUUCAUCAAGUGGGAUAUCAAAACCCCAUCAAGAGUAGCAAAUAUCUUUCUUACAUCACAGGCCAUAUACAUAAAAAACUUAAAGCCUUUAUUUGUAAAAAUAAUGUUAAAAGGUGGAAAAUAAAAUGGGAAAAAAUUAAGAUAUUAAUGGAUGGAUAAUGGCAAGAGUCAGAAGUAGCUGGUAAGUAAACAUGGAAUAUUCAUUGGGAAUCCGAUUAAUUUUUUUCAUCAUCCCUGCCAUCAUUAUCAUCAUCACAUCAUAAUAUAUAUAUAUAACAUUUCUAUGUAAAUUGGACAAUAAAAACAAAAGAAAUUUGUUCCGAUCCAAUUACCCUUUCCAAUUUACUUGCGCAUAGUUAUUUAUAUAUAUAUAUAUAACCAAAAUAAAAUAUAAAAUAAAAAUAGACCAUAUAAAAAUGGCUAUAUCUACCUUGUCACCAAAAAAUCCUAGGAAGAAUAAUUCAGAGCUAAAGGUCGACGCACAUAAAUACAUACACACAAAACAGAAGAAUGAAUAUACAUAUAUAUGUACAGAAAUUAUCAAUUUUGCCUAACGAUAGAUCCCUUCAUCCAUUCAAACAUUUGGAUAAAGGAAUUUCAAUAUUAGGCUGACUGGCCAAAUACCAACCCAACCAAUUAUAUACAAGAUAUAACAUAAACGAGAAAAGAAUAACAAAUAGAUCAGAACAAGUAUGAAACGUCACCACUGCCUUCGACUUUCUCAGAUUAACUUGUUUUGGGCACGACACCAUGAGGGCAUUAUAUAGACAGAAAAAGAGGGGGGUGGGAACCCUAGCCAUUACUGUUAUGACGAUGGGCUAAGAUUUUUGUUGGUCCUCGAGUUGGACCGAGUACAAAUUAUUUGAGACCGGGCAAAAUAUCAUUUCAUUGAGUGUGAAAUGUAAACAGCGACCGUUGUUUUGUUAAGGAAUCGGAGGAUGAUGGGAUGAUUUUUUUCCAGGAAAUUCCCAAUAAAAAAUACAAAUCAUUCCUUUUUUUUAUUUAUCAAAUCGAUCAUAACCGCUCCCUACAUUUAACGAAAGUGUGCACUAUAAAUAGGAGUUAAUAAAGAGACCCACGAUUACAUAGAAAGACAUCACGAUCCCUUAUGGGAAAAAAAAAAAUUUGCUAAGACAAAAUUAAAGAUAUCAAGUUUCUACCAAGAUUACUAGAAGUUCCUAAGAGUAGCAAAUAUCUUUCUUACAUCACAGGCCAUAUACAUAAAAAACUUAAAAGCCUUUAUUUGUAAAAAUAAUGUAAAAAGGUGGAAAAUAAAAGGGGAAAAAUUAAGAUAUUAAUGGAUGAAUAAUGGCAAGAGUCGGAAGUAGCUGGUAAGUAAGAGUCCUUCUAGACAGACCAGAAAUUUGGACAGGAAAAUGAGACAUUUUCAAAUUUUUUUAUUUUUUUUGAUUGUGUCUCCCAAAAAAUGUAUAGUACUUAUUCCAACAGGAUUUUUAUAAAAUAUAGUGUUUUAAGGUGUAAUUUAAAUACAUAUACAAAAACAGGGUGUAAGGUGUAUUUGUAUAACCCUGUUUUUGUAUAUAUGUAUCCAAAUUACAUCUUAAACACUAUAUUUUGUAAAAAUUCCUGUUGGAAUAAAUACUAUACAUUUUUUGAGUCACAAUCAAAAAUAAAUAAAUAAAAUUGAAAAUGUCCCACAUUCUUAUCCAGAUUUUCGGUCUAUCUAGACGGGAAAAUAAACAUGGAAUAUUCAUUGGGAAUCCGAUUGAUUUUUUUCAUCAUCCCUGCCAUCAUAUCAUCAUCAAAU